UUAGAUAAAAGCAAUUAGUGAUAGAUGUAAUUGUGUAGUUUGGCCAUAUUGAGUAAAAGUAGUUUUUAACUGUUGUCACUGUUUUCAAGGCUAAAUCUGUGUUUGCAGAGUCAGUGAUGUUUUAAUGCUGCUUCAAGGAUGCUGCUCCGUGGCAGUCAUCUUGGUAAAUCCUUUGUUGUCCAACAAGUAGAGGAACAACAAGUUUACUGUGAAUCUUAACAUCAGGACAGGACUGCAGCUGAUUUCUUGUUGCUCCAGUAGCACAGAACUUUUUACACAGCACAGUAUGGUUUCAUAAAUUGAAAGUGUCAUGAAAAGCUGUAAUGUCUUUGCAAUGAAAAACAGAUGAAGGAAUCAUAAUGAAAAUCAACACUGGAGCUUGCAUCAUCAUAG